GCGGGCAUAGUUUACUGGUAAAACAUCUUCCUUCCAAGUAGAAGUAGCGAGUUCGAUUCUCGCUGCCCGCU
rnacentral:tRNA from 1 species